CCUACGGGUGGCAGCAGUAGGGAAUCUUCGGCAAUGGACGGAAGUCUGACCGAGCAACGCCGCGUGAGUGAAGAAGGUUUUCGGAUCGUAAAGCUCUGUUGUAAGAGAAGAACGAGUGUGAGAGUGGAAAGUUCACACUGUGACGGUAUCUUACCAGAAAGGGACGGCUAACUACGUGCCAGCAGCCGCGGUAAUACGUAGGUCCCGAGCGUUGUCCGGAUUUAUUGGGCGUAAAGCGAGCGCAGGCGGUUAGAUAAGUCUGAAGUUAAAGGCUGUGGCUUAACCAUAGUAGGCUUUGGAAACUGUUUAACUUGAGUGCAAGAGGGGAGAGUGGAAUUCCAUGUGUAGCGGUGAAAUGCGUAGAUAUAUGGAGGAACACCGGUGGCGAAAGCGGCUCUCUGGCUUGUAACUGACGCUGAGGCUCGAAAGCGUGGGGAGCAAACAGGAUUAGAUACCCCAGUAGUC
rnacentral:rRNA from 1 species